GAUGAACGCUAGCGGCAGGCUUAACACAUGCAAGUCGAGGGGCAGCGGGAUGUAGCAAUACAUUGCCGGCGACCGGCGCAAGGGUGCGUAACGCGUGAGCAACAUGCCCGUCACAGGAGGAUAAACCAUGGAAACGUGGCCUAAUACUCCAUAGUAUGUUUUGGAGGCAUCUCUAUGACAUUAAAGCUUCGGUGGUGACGGAUUGGCUCGCGUGACAUUAGCUAGAUGGAGAGGUAACGGCUCACCAUGGCGACGAUGUCUAGGGGAACUGAGAGGUUAAUCCCCCGANAACUGGGUACUGAGACACGGACCAGACUCCUAGGGAGGCAGCAGUGAGGAAUAUUGGACAAUGGAUGGAAAUCUGAUCCAGCCAUGCCGCGUG
rnacentral:rRNA from 1 species